rnacentral:lncRNA from 1 species
GGUCGACUCAUGGCACAGAAAAAUUCAAAAGAAUGAUGGGACAAUUUUGAAAAAAUUUGAAACUCUGAGAGAAGGAUGUUUACCCAAAUAUUGAUCAUGUGAAUGAUAGUUUUGAGCUUUUGAGCUCUUAAGAAAAAUGAGAAUUGAGCUCAAUAGAUUUGGUUCAAUGAAGUUUUGACAUUAAGAAUUUGGAAUCAGAGAGAUACUUAAGCUGAUGGAUCAAGGAUUCC